AGCGAACGCUGGCGGCAGGCUUAACACAUGCAAGUCGAACGGGCACUUCGGUGUCAGUGGCAGACGGGUGAGUAACACGUGGGAACGUACCUCUUGGUUCGGAACAACACAGGGAAACUUGUGCUAAUACCGGAUAAGCCCUUACGGGGAAAGAUUCAUCGCCGAGAGAUCGGCCCGCGUCUGAUUAGCUAGUUGGUAGGGUAAUGGCCUACCAAGGCGACGAUCAGUAGCUGGGCUGAGAGGAUGAUCAGCGACAUUGGGACUGAGACACGGCCCAAACUCCUACGGGAGGCAGCAGUGGGGAAUAUUGGACAAUGGGGGCAACCCUGAUCCAGCCAUGUCGCGUGAGUGAUGAAGGCCCUAGGGUUGUAAAGCUCUUUUGUGCGGGAAGAUAAUGACGGUACCGCAAGAAUAAGCCCCGGCUAACUUCGUGCCAGCCGCCGCGGUAA
rnacentral:rRNA from 1 species